rnacentral:ribozyme from 1 species
UGCCCAGCAACUCCUAUUCCUACCUCCUUGUGGUAUUGGCCGGGGUACGAGUAACUUUUGGGAAGAUCAGGUAACCAACCCCGGUGGAAACUUUAGUCGUAUGCUGACAGGAAAGA